rnacentral:rRNA from 1 species
UACGUAGGGGGCAAGCGUUAUCCGGAUUUACUGGGUGUAAAGGGGGCGCAGACGGCGAUGCAAGCCAGGAGUGAAAGCCCGGGGCCCAACCCCGGGACUGCUCUUGGAACUGCGUGGCUGGAGUGCAGGAGGGGCAGGCGGAAUUCCUGGUGUAGCGGUGAAAUGCAUAGAUAUCACGAAGAACCCCGAUUGCGAAGGCAGCAUACCGGCUCCACACUAACGCUGAGGCACGAAAGCGUGGGUAUCGAACAGG